GAACAGAAUCAGCAAGGUGUAGUUCAUGCACCUUCUGCUUCAGGCAACAAUGUUGAGCAAAGUGAACAAGUUGUUGCUUCUGCACCUUUUGAUGCAGAACACAAUGUUGAGGAAAGUGAGAAAGUUGUUGCUUCUACACCUUGUGUACCUUCUGUGUCAGGUCACAAUGUGAAGCAAAGUGAGCAAGAAGCUGGUUAUCCCCCUGAUUCAGAACACAAUGUCGAACAGAAUCAGCAAG
rnacentral:lncRNA from 1 species